rnacentral:rRNA from 1 species
GACGAACGCUGGCGGCGUGCUUAACACAUGCAAGUCGAACGGAAAGGCCUCUUUCGGGGGGUACUCGAGUGGCGAACGGGUGAGUAACACGUGAGUAACCUGCCCUUGACUUUGGGAUAACUUCAGGAAACUGGGGCUAAUACCGGAUAGGAGCUCCUGCUGCAUGGUGGGGGUUGGAAAGUUUCGGCGGUUGGGGAUGGACUCGCGGCUUAUCAGCUUGUUGGUGGGGUAGUGGCUUACCAAGGCUUUGACGGGUAGCCGGCCUGAGAGGGUGACCGGCCACAUUGGGACUGAGAUAAGGCCCAGACUCCUACGGGAGGCAGCAGUGGGGAAUAUUGCACAAUGGGUGGAAGCCUGAUGCAGCAACGCCGUGUGCGGGAUGACGGCCUUCGGGUUGUAAACCGCUUUCGCUCAUGACGAAGCUUUGUGUGACGGUAGUGGGUAAAGAAGCACCGGCUAACUACGUG